CGAGUAUGCGCAGACAGGUGUCUACGGAGUGGAAAGAAGUUGUUGCAUCUGAUAAUUCUUCAAUCGUGUAGCAGCAACUGCAGCUUACAUGGAAUGAGGAUUAUCGGAUUCAUCUACACUCACUGAUCAUCCAAGGUGAAUUGAUGACCUCAAGCAAAUGGAUGUUGUUGUCAUCUGAAGAGAAGGUUGUCCUGGGCCCAUGUUUAGAGGCAUUUGGGGCAUAUCAGACACAUAUCAGAAUCAAGCUGCAUGCACA